GACGAACGCUGGCGGCGUGCUUAACACAUGCAAGUCGAACGGAAAGGCCUCUUUCGGGGGGUACUCGAGUGGGGAACGGGUGAGUAACACGUGAGUAACCUGCCCUUGACUUUGGGAUAACUUCAGGAAACUGGGGCUAAUACCGGAUAGGAGCUCCUGCUGCAUGGUGGGGGUUGGAAAGUUUCGGCGGUUGGGGAUGGACUCGCGGCUUAUCAGCUUGUUGGUGGGGUAGUGGCUUACCAAGGCUUUGACGGGUAGCCGGCCUGAGAGGGUGACCGGCCACAUUGGGACUGAGAUACGGCCCAGACUCCUACGGGAGGCAGCAGUGGGGAAUAUUGCACAAUGGGUGGAAGCCUGAUGCAGCAACGCCGUGUGCGGGAUGACGGCCUUCGGGUUGUAAACCGCUUUCGCUCAUGACGAAGCUUUGUGUGACGGUAGUGGGUAAAGAAGCACCGGCUAACUACGUG
rnacentral:rRNA from 1 species